rnacentral:lncRNA from 1 species
UAAAAUUUUGCCAACUAAACAAGGCCUCAGUAUGCUUUGCUUGCAUUGCUGCCGCUGCUGCUGGCUUCUGCUCAGUGCUCCUCCUCCUGCACACACACACACACACAUUGUAUACUAUUUUUUUUUUAAAAAAACAUAGAACAGGCUCCCUCCUGCACAUUUUAUUCUCUUCUUGUUUACCGCCCCCAACAAGCCUUGAAAGCCGUGCAAGUGCGUUUUGCGUUCCCCACAAACAUGCUUCCCAUUCUCCAUGCUUCCUCCUUCCACAAGGCUACCCACAAACCAUUGUUAAACCCAUCGCUUUCUUCUCCCAUCUGCCGUUGCCUUGCCAGCCAUGUGAGGAGGGGCUUUUGUAUAUAAGCACCACUCGUGUUCUUCAGUCUCUGCUUCCUUCAUCUAUUCCUCCUCCCUCUUGCAUUGCAGGCCUCUCCUCCCUCCCUCAGUUCCCCAUCCCACUAGCUCCUUCUCGACCACAGCUAGCUUAGCAGCUUGUUCCUCCUCCUCACGCUUUGCUUGCCGGAAUGGAGUUCACGGCGAGCUCUAGACGGAGUAGCUGGCCAAUGAGCGGCGGCGACAGAGGAAAGGUGCGGCUGGAUGGACGGCCGCACCCGCACAGAUAGGAGAAGGGCGUGCAGUCACCUUUGGCUCCCACUGCCUGCCGGCUGGAACUCUCAGCUGCUUGCUCGAUCCAUGAGCUGAGCGUGAGCAUGAGGAGGAAGACGACGCAGAUGGUCUGAGCUUUCUUGGGGAAUUGAGGCUUGAUGGUCCGAGAUAUAUAUAAAUAUCUCUAGGUAUCUUAACUACUAGCACCUACUACUACUAAUUUAGAUUUCCUAGCUAUAUCAUUUUUCAUUUUCCCCCUCUUCUCUUGCUCAUCUUCUUUCCAUCUCCCCUGCUUUCUUUAUUACUGCUAUUUUGAGAGGACGAUGCGUCCAGACGGGAUGUUCUUGGCUGGCUACUUAACUUGCUGCUGCAAUGCCCAAGUUGUCUCAAUGUUGUCCUCUAAGUGAUGUAAUAAUAAUGUUGUUAGAGGCAGUAUAUUAAGUUUGGAAUGCAGCGGUCGGUCACUACAUUUUGUAAUGCCUGUAGUCUCUGAUUCUGCACUCUGUUCCAUGUUGUUACAAUGCUUUCAGGAAGUGCCAGCACGUACUAGUAUGUUUGUUAAUUCCUCUCUUCCCAUGGGUCUGCCAUGUUCUUGGGUUGAUGAUAUCUCGUUCGUUCGUUCAUGAGUCGUCUGCUCUCAAGUUCAUAUAGAGGACCUGUGUUCUAGAUACAGGCAUUUUCUCAAGAAAACUAUUGUGCAUUCACGUUCUUCACUUCUUCAGUUGGAGCUGCAGGUGUGGAACAGGCGCAGAACGACUGUGAGCUGGGAGUUAAAAGAAAAUACAGUAGGCGCAAAAAGUUCUCACAUCUCCUAGCUUUCUGUCACCUCCUUUCAAUGUUCCAAAUCAAAUCCGAGUUUUCUUUCACCUAGUAUAUACGAGCAGUUCAUAAUUAUAAUAAGCAUGUAGUAUUAGCACUAUUUGAACCGAAAUUUCUAACAAUUUUCUGUCUCGUAGUACAUUCCAGAGGGAAGUUUUUACACAAAUUCUAUAAAAUGUACUAGUGGCCCUCAACAAGUAAAUAAAAUAAAAGAGGAAAACGAAAAGGAAAAAAACAACUAGGCUGCGGCAUUUUACCCUUUGUACCC